CGAUGAUAGCCCUUCGGGGUGGAUUAGUGGCGAACGGGUGAGUAACACGUGGGCAAUCUGCCCUUCACUCUGGGACAAGCCCUGGAAACGGGGUCUAAUACCGGAUAACACUCUGUCCUGCAUGGGACGGGGUUGAAAGCUCCGGCGGUGAAGGAUGAGCCCGCGGCCUAUCAGCUUGUUGGUGGGGUAAUGGCCUACCAAGGCGACGACGGGUAGCCGGCCUGAGAGGGCGACCGGCCACACUGGGACUGAGACACGGCCCAGACUCCUACGGGAGGCAGCAGUGGGGAAUAUUGCACAAUGGGCGAAAGCCUGAUGCAGCGACGCCGCGUGAGGGAUGACGGCCUUCGGGUUGUAAACCUCUUUCAGCAGGGAAGAAGCGCAAGUGACGGUACCUGCAGAAGAAGCGCCGGCUAACUACGUGCCAGCAGCCGCGGUAAUACGUAGGGCGCAAGCGUUGUCCGGAAUUAUUGGGCGUAAAGAGCUCGUAGGCGGCUUGUCACGUCGGAUGUGAAAGCCCGGGGCUUAACCCCGGGUCUGCAUUCGAUACGGGCUAGCUAGAGUGUGGUAGGGGAGAUCGGAAUUCCUGGUGUAGCGGUGAAAUGCGCAGAUAUCAGGAGGAACACCGGUGGCGAAGGCGGAUCUCUGGGCCAUUACUGACGCUGAGGAGCGAAAGCGUGGGGAGCGAACAGGAUUAGAUACCCUGGUAGUCCACGCCGUAAACGUUGGGA
rnacentral:rRNA from 1 species